rnacentral:rRNA from 1 species
UACGUAGGUGGCGAGCGUUAUCCGGAAUUAUUGGGCGUAAAGAGCGCGCAGGUGGUUGAUUAAGUCUGAUGUGAAAGCCCACGGCUUAACCGUGGAGGGUCAUUUGAAACUGGUCGACUUGAGUGCAGAAGAGGGAAGUGGAAUUCCAUGUGUAGCGGUGAAAUGCGUAGAUAUUAGGAGGAACACCAGUUGCGAAGGCGGCUCUCUGGACUGUAACUGACACUGAGGCACGAAAGCGUGGGGAGCAAACAGGAUUAGAUA